GUCUCCAUAGUCUAGCGGUUAGGACGCUGCCCUUUCAAGGCGGUAGCGCGGGUUCGAUUCCCGCUGGAGAUG
rfam:Holospora undulata HT1 contig000198, whole genome shotgun sequence.